rnacentral:rRNA from 1 species
UACGAAGGGGGCUAGCGUUAUUCGGAAUCAUUGGGCGUAAAGGGCGCGUAGGCGGUCUCUUAAGUCAGAUGUGAAAGCCCACGGCUUAACCGAGGAAGUGCAUUUGAAACUAAGGGACUUGAGUAUGGGAGAGGGAAGCGGAAUUCCUGGUGUAGCGGUGAAAUGCGUAGAUAUCAGGAGGAACACCGGUGGCGAAGGCGGCUUACUGGACCAAUACUGACGCUGAGGUGCGAAGGCGUGGGGAGCAAACAGG